rnacentral:rRNA from 1 species
GACGAACGCUGGCGGCGUGCUUAACACAUGCAAGUCGAACGGAAAGGCCCUGCUUUUGUGGGGUGCUCGAGUGGCGAACGGGUGAGUAACACGUGAGUAACCUGCCCUUGACUUUGGGAUAACUUCAGGAAACUGGGGCUAAUACCGGAUAGGAGCUCCUGCUGCAUGGUGGGGGUUGGAAAGUUUCGGCGGUUGGGGAUGGACUCGCGGCUUAUCAGCUUGUUGGUGGGGUAGUGGCCUACCAAGGCUUUGACGGGUAGCCGGCCUGAGAGGGUGACCGGCCACAUUGGGACUGAGAUACGGCCCAGACUCCUACGGGAGGCAGCAGUGGGGAAUAUUGCACAAUGGGCGGAAGCCUGAUGCAGCAACGCCGCGUGCGGGAUGACGGCCUUCGGGCUGUAAACCGCUUUCGCCUGUGACGAAGCGUGAGUGACGGUAAUGGGUAAAGAAGCACCGGCUAACUACGUG